CCGUCUCAAAAACAAAAAACCUUUUUUCCCAAGCUGCCAUUGGACUUUUAGCCAACACCUUUUUCCUCUUGUUCAACAUCUUCACAUUUCUUCAGAAUCAGAAAUCGAAGCCCCAUGACCUCAUCAGCUGUAACUCGGCCUUCAUUCAUGUAGUGAUAUUCCUCACUGUGGUAGACGGUUGGCCUCCAGAUAUGCUUGAAUCACUGCACUUAGGGAAUGAGUUCAAAUGUAAGUCCUUGUCCUACAUAAACAGAGUGACGACGGGCCUGUGUAACACCUGUCUCCUGAGUGUACACCAGGCCAGCACCAUCAGCCCCAGCAACUGCUGUUUGGCAAGGCUUAAACAGAAAUUCACAAAUAUCGUUAUCAGUGUCAUUUUUUUUUUGGUCCGUCAAUUUUUCUUUCAGUCAUAACAUAAUAUUCUUCACUGUGGCUUCUUCCAAUGUGACCCAGACCAGUCUACUUAAGGUCAGCAAAUACUGUUCACUUUCUCCCGUGAAGUCCUUCAUGAGGAAAGUAUUUUUUAUUCCUGACAUUAUCUAGGGAUGUCUUCAUUAUAGGAAUUACACUGCAUUCAAUUGCACACAUGGUGAUUCUUCUGUCCAGGCAUCAGAGGCAAUCUCAGCAACUUCACAGCACCAGUUUCUCUCCGUGAGCCUUCCCAGAGAAAAGGGCCACUCAGACCAUCCAGCUGUUAAGUUAGCUACUUUCUGGUCAUGUGCUGGGUGGAACUCAUCAUCUCAUCCUUUUCAACACUGCUGUGGAUGUGCAACCCAGUCAUCCUGAGUGUGCAGAACCUUGUGGUCAAUGUCUAUGCCACUGU
rnacentral:lncRNA from 1 species